CUUCUUCACAAACAAACACCCAUGAAUGACCAAGUGAACAAGGCUUCUUCCCACACACGACCCCAUGAAUGAUUAAGGGAACAAGUCUACUUCCUACACAAACACCCAUGAACGACCAAGGGAACAAGGCAUCUUGCCACACACAUGCCCAUGAACGACCCAAUCCCAUCCGCAUCGUUCUAAGGAACGAGGGGCUUUGACAAACCAUAGGCUGAUUUCUAAGAAAGUCAAACGAUGAAGGGGGCAAAGUGUUGUAUCCAAAUCCGUUUAAGUGUUGUAGUUCCUACUUAAUACAUAGUCACUAGGCGAACUGCUCAUGUUCUUUCGAGUUCAUCUAAGCGACUAAUGAAUAACUAAAAGCCUUAUCUGUCGGCCUAUAAAUAGGUGACGGAGACAAAAACCCGAACACGAUAUAUUUCCAUUUCAAGGUCUAUGUUCACAAUGACCCACACAAAGUUUCAAUGACAUUCCAACAUGAUUUGAGCGGCAUAUCAACAAGUAGGGAACCGAACGCUUCAAGGCAUGGCCAAGGAUAGGUCACAUACAUUUAUGCUCCAAACAUGACAUUUUUUCUUUCAACGCCUUUCAUUUAUAAUAAAAAGAAUCCAUUCAAAAUUUCGUGUGAAUCCGAAUUAAUUCGAGCGAGUUAUGGACGAUUUCGCAAAAUUAUGCAUCCCUGGGCAAAUCAAUGUAUGUUCCUAUCACCAAGCUCUUUGUGUAAUAUGUAUAUAUAGGGGGUACCAUGGGACUGCUCCCCAUCGGCGCCCCAAGGGGUGUCCAACGCCCAAGGCUCUCGAGGCUAGCACGCACGAGGCAUGGCCAAGGCACCUGGUCUUCACAAAAACGAGGCCAUCAACGCCCCACUCCCAGGUCCCCUCGCCCCAACGUCGUGCGUGUCCAAAAAUAUUGCAUCAUCAGGGAAAUCAAUGUCCGUUGCUGUCACCAAGCUCUUUGUGCAAUAUGUAUAUAUAUGGGGUACCAUGGGGUCUCAUUCGCAUGGGUGCCCGACAUGGGCGAUGGGCAGCUAAGAGUCAUGAGGCUGUAUCGAGCACCAACAAAGCAAGCCAAGCCAAGCCCCACGACCCAUGAAAGACGCCAACUCCCCAACACGCUCCCUUGAUUUCUCGAAUGAUGACCUGAAAAAUAGCCCAGUUGCCUUGAUUUUCCUUGACUCCGUGCGCAUAUUAAAAAUUAUGCAUCCUUAGGGAAAUCAAUGUAUGUUCCUGUCACUAAGCUCUUUGUGCAAUAUGUAUAUAUAGGGGGGGAGCCGUGAGUGAGCACGACGCGCAGACGGCCUUUGAGCGUGAUAUUGGGUGACAGUUGCUUAGUUGCGAGUUGCUUACAUAAUACCCCUCUAAGUGGGGGCCUUGGCGGGGUGUGGGGAUGCCUCGUCAGGUCGCUGCGACAACAGUCCAGGGUUGUGGUCUAGCCCUGGAAGUGUGGGAUGAGCUAUUUGUGUGGCAAUACGAUGACGAUGUGCUUGCUAAUCUUGUUCGAUGUUCUACUGGUGCUAGCCAGCAUUUGAUCUGUGCUGAUGACCAGGAAGACACAGGCGUUAAAGUGGCAUGUGUUGCUUUUUGUGAUACUACUACGGUACGCUAGUCUAUCCUUUUUAGACGUGCGGUUGGGUGCCUAAGCGCCGCUGGCAUUGGUUUAGCACCGACAACGUAGAGGACGGAAACAUUAUCGGGAAGAAUUGUCAGACAUUCAGGAUCAUCACGGCGUGUUGAAGUUAUCUUGGAAGCACAAAAGAUGCCAAGUCUGGCUAUCGUCUUUUUGUGGGCAGGGUAGCUUCAUACACUGCAUCAACACAAGACUUGCCUUCUCUGAGGUACGAUUGGUGCCCAUGCCCAGCUAGUGCUAGUCAUACAGGAUCAGAGAUAGGCAUUAAGAGGUCCCUUUUUGCUAUCCCCGGCCCAAGCACAUACUAUAUUGCACAUGCCCAGCUAGGAAUGAUGUAAUUAGGCCAGUAGCAUCGCCUGUCCCUUUUUGUGCAUCGUUUGGUGCAUUCUGGGGGUUGUUUAAGCUUGUUGUUGCUUGCAUGGCCUUGUGCCAACUGGGUGGCUGUUAGUUUGAUGAUCUUCGGGGAUGUCUACCCUUAAGGUGCAUGAGUGGUGUUUGGUUAGUAACGGGUGGUUGGAUGUCUUCUUGAGCAGCAACUUCCAUGCAUUCUUACCUCUUCAGUUGUGUUACAAGGCGAAUUUUCCUUGAACAUUGUGGGUUCCUGUGUUGCAUACCUAAUUGAUGGCAUUGUGCUGUUUCAACAAAGUUUCCUUUCAUUAAGCAUCGCUUGCGGUGCCUACGAACCUUGAAGUUGACUUUAUGGUCCAUGUUGUCAAUGCGGAUGUGUCGAUGGCAUGGCUUAUGAAGUGUUGCUUGCUCUCUUGGAUAUGGAAGCUGGUGUGGGCAUGUGGUCAGUCAUGAGCAUGUAUUUUGCCCUACAUGAGCGUUUCGCUUCUCUAGACGACUGUCUUCCUUGCAUUGACUUGUUGGUGCAGGGUAGACUGAGUCGAAGAGGAAUGCUACCUGGUUGAUCCUGCCAGUAGUCAUAUGCUUGUCUCAAAGAUUAAGCCAUGCAUGUGUAAGUAUGAACAAAUUCAAACUGUGAAACUACGAAUGGCUCCUUAAAUCAGUUAUAGUUUAUCUGAUGGUAUCUGCUACUCAGAUAACCGUAGUAAUUCUAGAGCUAAUACGUGCAACGAACCCCGACUUUUGGAAGGGAUGCAUUUAUUAGAUAAAAGGUCGACGCGGGCUCUGCCCGUUGCUACGAUGAUUCAUGAUAACUUGACGGAUCACACGGCCCUCGUGCCGACGA
rnacentral:lncRNA from 1 species